UACGGGGGGGGCAAGCGUUGUUCGGAAUUACUGGGUGUAAAGGGUUCGUAGGCGGUGCGGCAAGUUGGGAGUGAAAUCUCUGGGCUUAACCCAGAGGCCGCUUCCAAAACUGCUGUGCUUGAGUGUGGGAGAGGCGCGUGGAAUUGCAGGUGUAGCGGUGAAAUGCGUAGAUAUCUGCAGGAACACCCGUGGCGAAAGCGGCGCGCUGGACCACUACUGACGCUGAGGAACGAAAGCUAGGGGAGCAAACAGG
rnacentral:rRNA from 1 species